rnacentral:rRNA from 1 species
AUUGAACGCUGGCGGCAGGCCUAACACAUGCAAGUCGAACGAGUGGCGGACGUGUGAGUAAUGUCCGGGAAACUGCCCGAUGGAGGGGGAUAAUUACUGGAAACGGUAGCUAAUACCGCAUACCAUCGGAUGUGCCCAGAUGGGAUUAGCUAGUAGGUGGGGUAACGGCUCACCUAGCCGACGAUCCCUAGCUGGUCGGAGCGGAUGACCAGCCACACUGGAACUGAGCCAGGGUCGAGACUCACACGUGAGGCAGCAGUGGGGAAUAUUGCACAGUGAGCGCAGGCCUGAUACAGCCAUGCGGGUUGUAUGAAGAAGGCCUUCGGGUUGGAAAGUAAUUUCAGCGAGGAGGCGUUACUCGCAGAAGAAGCACCGGCUAACUCCGUGCCAGCAGCCGCGGUAAUUC